GAGAUGGUAAUGCCUGGUGAUAANNGCGGUCUCCAAAACCGCAGGUUGGGGGUUCGAUUCCCUCCUGGCCUGCCA
rnacentral:tRNA from 1 species